rnacentral:rRNA from 1 species
CCUACGGGAGGCAGCAGUGGGGAAUAUUGCACAAUGGGGGAAACCCUGAUGCAGCGACGCCGCGUGAGUGAAGAAGUAAUUCGUUAUGUAAAGCUCUAUCAGCAGGGAAGAAAAUGACGGUACCUGAGUAAGAUGCCCCGGCUAACUACGUGCCAGCAGCCGCGGUAAGACGUAGGGGGCAAGCGUUAUCCGGAUUUACUGGGUGUAAAGGGAGCGUAGACGGCAGUGCAAGUCUGGAGUGAAAGGGGGCGGCUCAACCGCCGGACUGCACUGGAAACUGUACGGCUUGAGUGCAGGAGAGGUAGGUGGAAUUCGUGGUGUAGCGGUGAAAUGCGUAGAUAUUAGGAGGAACACCAGUGGCGAAGGCAGCUUACUGGACUGUAACUGACGUUGAGGCUUGAAAGCGUGGGGAGCAAACAGGAUUAGAUACCCCAGUAGUC